rnacentral:tRNA from 1 species
UGCGGGAUGGAGCAGCAUGGUAGCUCGUCGGGCUCAUAACCCGAAGGUCGUAGGUUCGAAUCCUGCUCCCGCAACCA